UUCUACCGUUUCAGUUUGUCAAUUGGACUUAAAGUUUUAUUGAUCCUUCAGGUGGGGCAAAGGAAAUAUCUUUUUAAAACCUAGACAAACUGAGUGUUUUCUCUUGUAAUCUGUCAGGAGACAGACUG
rnacentral:snoRNA from 1 species